rnacentral:pre_miRNA from 1 species
AAAUUACUCUCUCCGUUUCAUAAUUUUUGUCGGAAUCUUACAUGUAUCUAGACACUUUUUAGAAAUAGAUACAUCCAUUUUUGGGCAAAUUUGAGACAAAAAUUAUGUAAUGGAGAGAGUAUAUU